rnacentral:rRNA from 1 species
CCUACGGGAGGCAGCAGUGAGGAAUAUUGGUCAAUGGACGAGAGUCUGAACCAGCCAAGUAGCGUGAAGGAUGACUGCCCUAUGGGUUGUAAACUCCUUUUAUAUGGGAAUAAAACGUUCCACGUGUGGGAUUUUGUAUGUACCAUAUGAAUAAGGAUCGGCUAACUCCGUGCCAGCAGCCGCGGUAAUACGGAGGAUCCGAGCGUUAUCCGGAUUUAUUGGGUUUAAAGGGAGCGUAGGUGGAUUGUUAAGUCAGUUGUGAAAGUUUGCGGCUCAACCGUAAAAUUGCAGUUGAAACUGGCAGUCUUGAGUACAGUAGAGGUGGGCGGAAUUCGUGGUGUAGCGGUGAAAUGCUUAGAUAUCACGAAGAACUCCGAUUGCGAAGGCAGUUCACUGGACUGCAACUGACACUGAGGCUCGAAAGUGUGGGUAUCAAACAGGAUUAGAUACCCCUGUAGUC